rnacentral:rRNA from 1 species
CAUGUCCUACGGGGGGCAGCAGUGAGGAAUAUUGGUCAAUGGCCGGAAGGCUGAACCAGCCAAGUCGCGUGAGGGAAGACGGUCCUAUGGAUUGUAAACCUCUUUUGUCGGGGAGCAAAAGACGCCACGUGUGGCGUUCCGAGAGUACCCGAAGAAAAAGCAUCGGCUAACUCCGUGCCAGCAGCCGCGGUAAUACGGAGGAUGCGAGCGUUAUCCGGAUUUAUUGGGUUUAAAGGGUGCGCAGGCGGAAGGUCAAGUCAGCGGUAAAAUUGAGAGGCUCAACCUCUUCGAGCCGUUGAAACUGG